rnacentral:rRNA from 1 species
AAUCCAUAGGUUAAUGAGGCGAACCGGGGGAACUGAAACAUCUAAGUACCCCGAGGAAAAGAAAUCAACCGAGAUUCCCCCAGUAGCGGCGAGCGAACGGGGAGGAGCCCAGAGCCUGAAUCAGCAUGUGUGUUAGUGGAAGCGUCUGGAAAGGCGCGCGAUACAGGGUGACAGCCCCGUACACAAAAGCGCAUGUGCUGUGAGCUCGAUGAGUAGGGCGGGACACGUGGUAUCCUGUCUGAAUAUGGGGGGACCAUCCUCCAAGGCUAAAUACUCCUGACUGACCGAUAGUGAACCAGUACCGUGAGGGAAAGGCGAAAAGAACCCCGGCGAGGGGAGUGAAAAAGAACCUGAAACCGUGUACGUACAAGCAGUGGGAGCACAGGUUUACCUGUGUGACUGCGUACCUUUUGUAUAAUGGGUCAGCGACUUAUAUUCUGUAGCAAGGUUAACCGAAUAGGGGAGCCGUAGGGAAACCGAGUCUUAAUUGGGCGUUAAGUUGCAGGGUAUAGACCCGAAACCCGGUGAUCUAGCCAUGGGCAGGUUGAAGGUUGGGU